GACGAACGCUGGCGGCGUGCUUAACACAUGCAAGUCGAACGGAGAUACUGGAGGAAGCUUGCGAAUCCGGUAUUUUAGUGGCGGACGGGUGAGUAACGCGUGGGUAACCUGCCCCAAGGACCGGGACAACAGUUGGAAACGACUGCUAAUACCGGAUGUGUUCACGGGAUGACAUCGUCCUGUGAAGAAAGGUGGCCUCUGCAUAUGCUACCGCUUUGGGAUGGACCCGCGUCUGAUUAGCUAGUUGGUGAGGUAACGGCCCACCAAGGCUACGAUCAGUAGCUGGUCUGAGAGGAUGAUCAGCCACACUGGAACUGAGACACGGUCCAGACUCCUACGGGAGGCUG
rnacentral:rRNA from 1 species